CGCUGAGCUGGUCUUCCCACGUAGACAAUCUACGUGCUGGGCACACACUGGUUCGGAUUUUGGAGACUACUACAGACACAGCAGCAAAUCCUCGUCACGUGCCAGUCUUUGGAGGUGGUGGUCAUGGAGUUCUUCGCGAGUCACGGUCACGGGUGACGGUUCCAUGCAAGAAUUAAAGCGGCUUAGUGCUCUUGUUUUAUGUUAAGGAUGACAUUGACUAAAACUACCUAUUCUUAAUAAAAUUAUUCAUAAAUUACCAUA